UACGUAGGGUGCGAGCGUUGUCCGGAAUUAUUGGGCGUAAAGAGCUCGUAGGCGGUGUGUCACGUCGGCCGUGAAAACCUGCAGCUUAACUGUGGGCGUGCGGUCGAUACGGGGCAUCACUGGAGUUCGGCAGGGGAGACUGGAAUUCCUGGUGUAGCGGUGAAAUGCGCAGAUAUCAGGAGGAACACCGAUGGCGAAGGCAGGUCUCUGGGCAUUAACUGACGCUGAGGAGCGAAAGCAUGGGGGAGCGAACAGG
rnacentral:rRNA from 1 species